GAAUUUAAUUUAAUUUGAGUUUAUUUGGUUUAAUUUAAUUUAAUACAAUUCAACAAUAUUAGGUUAUCUAUGUGCAGGUUUAAACUAUUUAUUACAUGAAUGUAUUUUUUAUUACAAUUAUUCGUUUUAACCGAUUUUGUUUUAUAAAUUGUUAUGAUUCUUAGAGAAUUUUUUCGUCGUGAUGCAGUCCACCAAUGUAUCACGAGCAUGAGGAGACAGUAUAGUAUGUUCUUAGAUGAGAGGAUCAUUCUGUAUAUACAGAUAUAUGCAGUCUACCGGUGUAUGACGAGUAUAAGGAGGUAAAUGGUAUGUUCUUAGAUGAGAGAAUCAUCUCAAACCUGUAGAUAUAUUGCUAGUAGCGUCCAUGAAGAGUACUAUCGAUGUAUUACGAAUAUGAAGAAGCAGC